rnacentral:tRNA from 1 species
GGGGUUGUGGCUCAGCGGUAGAGCGCUCACCUCGCAUGUGCGAGACCCUGGGUUUGAUCCUCAGUACCACA